rnacentral:rRNA from 1 species
AUUGAACGCUGGCGGAAUGCUUUACACAUGCAAGUCGAACGGCAGCACGGACUUCGGUCUGGUGGCGAGUGGCGAACGGGUGAGUAAUGUAUCGGAACGUGCCCAGUCGUGGGGGAUAACGUAGUGAAAAUUACGCUAAUACCGCAUACGAUCUAUGGAUGAAAGCGGGGGAUCGCAAGACCUCGCGCGAUUGGAGCGGCCGAUAUCAGAUUAGGUAGUUGGUGGGGUAAAGGCCCACCAAGCCAACGAUCUGUAGCUGGUCUGAGAGGACGACCAGCCACACUGGAACUGAGACACGGUCCAGCAUCCUACGGGAGGCAGCAGUGGGGAAUUUUGGACAAUGGGCGAAAGCCUGAUCCAGCCAUUCCGCGUGCAGGAUGAAGGCCCUCGGGUUGUAAACUGCUUUUGUACAGAACGAAAAGGUUUCUACUAAUACUAGGAGCUCAUGACGGUACUGUAAGAAUAAGCACCGGCUAACUACGUGCCAGCAGCCGCCGUAA